rnacentral:lncRNA from 1 species
AUGACUCCCCUCAGACCCACAGAGCUGCAAGACGGUUUGUUCUGCAGCAAAAGGGGGACCAGGACUUUGCACGACGGUUUCCUCCUGCUCCUUCCUAGACCUGUCGCCAUCUCUGCUGGGCUACGAUCUCCUUUCAGGGUGGAUGAAUACCCUUUAUCAAUCUGAAUGUCUUAAAAGCAUUCUUGCUUGCUCUCUCUGUGGUAGGUGGUGUCUUAGCAAGUCCUGAGUUUUCCAAUGAACCCGAUUUUAAUAUGUGGUAUUUUUGUACGCCGAUCUGGUGUCUUGUCCUUUGUAUAUGCGGUAAUGUUGAUUUUAUGACUACUGUUAAAACACAUUUGCUAUGAUUAAAAUUCAUGAAAUGAUUUCAAAUAGACUCAUGUGUUGGUUUUCUUCCCCUCAACCUCACGAAGAGAGAAAAAAAAGCUGGCUGGAAUUUUCAUCAUCAGAGACUCUAAGAAUUUUAAUAGACUUGGGUCAUAAAGCAACAAGGAGCUCCUGAGCCAAGGAUUUUAAGUGGAGGUGACCUUUAAGUGGCUCCUCUGAGAAGCUAAAGAAUGCAUUUUAAUGAGUAAGUCCAAGUGUGUUUUUGUGCAGUUGGGGUUUUUGUGACUUCUGGUGGCCCCACCUUCAUCCUGUACCAUUUAGAAAUGAUGCUGUUUGGACCAUCUUUAUGUACCUUGUGCAGAACAAUUUCAUGCAGGUCCCUGUGUAGUGAAAAGUGCCACGACCUGGUCUCUUGGCUCUGUGUCUGGAAAAGCACCUUUUAACACAUUUUCCCAGUGAUCAGGACCCUGCACCUUCACUGUCGAAGGUUCAGGUUAAAUCUUUGCUUGGGGAAAUAGGAUCCCACAAGCCACCAAAAAACAAAACAAAACAAAAAAAAUGUUUUCUUCAGCGGGACAGACGGUGUUUGAAGAGCCUUUUUUUUUUUUUUUUUUUGAUAAAAAGCAUUCUGAUUGAAUAACUCAGUAUCCUAUCAGUGAACUGCAGUUCAGUUGAACAGGUGACCUAAUUAAGGGAUUAUCAAUGAUCAGGUAUGCAUGAAUGCUAGUGUUGGUAUGCCCUGGCUCUCUGG